AUUCUUAUGCUCAUUUAUGUUAGGACAGGCACUGUUCUAUGAGCAGUCCCAUAAUCCAGAAGAUCCGGUGUCUCCUCUUUAAGGGUUUACAGAUUAGCAGUGGGAUUGGCUGUGGUCAGGUAGACAAGACAGAGAACCCUCCUGGGAAGCAGGAAGUGGUCGUGCCAGGAGAAGAGUUCAACGUGGAAUUCAAAGGAGGAAGACCCUACUCUGUCUUUUCACUGUGCAUUCUCAGCUCUUAACUGAAUGCCUGGCACAGAGUCGUUCUGCCUUGUAUUCCCUUUGUCUGCACUAAGCUGCAACUUUGAAUCCACCUGGGGUGGCUAGGAAGGAAGAGGAGUAAGGAAACAGAAAAAAUGAAGUAGGAUAGAGAGAGCACCCUCGUUGUCUUUACAGCAGAGAAUCACACACCCAAUUAGUCACAGCAAAGGGGAUCACUGUGCCUGGCAAUUCUGCUCCACUCAAAACUAGUAUUCAUUUUGGAUCUAAUACUUAGCCCUGCCCUGCUUCACUCUUCCUUUUGCUCAGAACUAUUGUGAGAGAUGGAGAGCAGAUAGCUCAGAGAACCACAAACCUCUUUUACUCUCAGACGUCAACUAGCACAUUUUGAAUGUCCUCUCUCUUUAAAUGUCCCUGAAGAAGGAGAAGAUACCAAAUGUAAAAUAAAUGGUAUU